GAUGAACGCUGGCGGCGUGCCUAAUACAUGCCAGUUGAGCGAUGAAGAUUGGUGCUUGCACCUCUUUGAAGAGCAGCGAACGGGUGAGUAACGCGUGGGGAAUCUGCCUUUGAGAGGGGGACAACAUUUGGAAACGAAUGCUAAUACCGCAUAAUAACUUUAAACAUAAGUUUCAAGUUUGAAAGAUGCAAUUGCAUCACUCAAAGAAGAUAUCGCGUUGUAUUAGCCAGUUGGUGAGGUAAAGGCUCACCAAGGGGAAGAUACAUAACCGACCCGAGAGGGUGAUCGGCCACAACGGGAAUGAGACACCGCCCAAACUCCUACGGGGAGGCGCAGGAGGGGAUCUUUGGCAAUUGAGGGAAGGCUGACCGGGCAACGGCGCGUGGGUGAAGAAAGGUUUCGGGUCGGUAAACUCUGUUGGUAAGGAAGGACGUAGGUGAGAAUGGAAAGCUCAUCAAGUGACGGUAACUACUCAGAAAGGGACGGCUAACUACGUG
rnacentral:rRNA from 1 species